GAAGGCAAAUGGAAAGUUGAACCAAAGUGAACAUUUACGGUUAAACUUUAGGAGAGACUUGGAGGGAUUUAGAUUCAAAGGUUGGGUUGGUGUUCAUUGGAAAUAUGCUUGGAAUUUACUGCAGCUGCUGGAAGUAAGAUAGCCUGGAGGUGUGCAGAUUGUAGAGCAACAGCUGUUUCGUGGAGUCCUGAAACCAAGGGGCUUGAACUCAUGACCCGAGAUCAAGAGUCAGAUGCUCCACCAACUGAGCCAGCUUUGAGCCCGCAUCCUCAUUCUUCUCAUCUGUAAAAUAUUGGAGUUGGGUUCUGUCCUUUGUAAUGGAAAAAGUCCUGACUUACCACCUGAGGCUUGGUCUGAAUCAGAUGAAGGUGGCAACAUGGCUCAAUAAAACUAACACAUAUAGAACAUCUUCUGGGGAGCGAGCACAGAGCCAGGAACUUCCCCAAAUAUUCUCACAGGGCGCAAGGGUGGCAGUGCGGUGUGGACUGACUGGACACUGGGAGGCCAACUGUGGAAGCUGAAGGCAAAAUUGUAAUGAUGCCCUGCCUGGUUGUGCUCAAAUUAAACCUCUGACUGGUUAAGUUCUAGAUCUGCUGCCCCUGGUGGGAACACAAGUGUGUUCUUAUUGAGAGAAAGAAAUGGCUCUUCCAUCAUCAAGAGUCAAGAUUAUUAUUUAAGGAAAGAGAUAUGCGGAUCAAAUUGUAGAAGCUGGGAAUUCUAGUUGGUUUGGGGGAGCAGAAUAGACUUUGGAGGGAAAUGAAAUCAGGCUUCCCUGUGGUAAAUUAGCAGUUACAGUCUUGUACACAGGAAGCUGAAAAGGAAUCAUCCACCAGUGCCGGAUCUCUUAAGCAAUUAAAUACCCUGGCUACCCAGGGUACUCUUUCAGAGGGCAUUAAUGAUUGACAGUACCUGUGGAAUGAUCCAUGUUGUAUGUACAUCAUUCUGUAAUUAAAGUUUUCUUUUGC